UACGUAGGUCGCAAGCGUUGUCCGGAUUUACUGGGCGUAAAGAGCGCGCAGGCGGCUGGGCAAGUCCGAUGUGAAAUCUCCCGGCUCAACUGGGAAACUGCAUCGGAAACUGAUCGGCUUGAAGAUGGGAGAGGGUAGUGGAAUUCCCGGUGUAGCGGUGAAAUGCGCAGAUAUCGGGAGGAACACCUAUGGCGAAGGCAGCUCGCUGGGACGUUACUGACGCUGAGACGCGAAAGCGUGGGGAGCAAACAGG
rnacentral:rRNA from 1 species